rnacentral:rRNA from 1 species
GUGACAGCAGCCGCGGUAAUACGGGGGGGGCAAGCGUUGUUCGGAAUUACUGGGCGUAAAGGGCUCGUAGGCGGCCAACUAAGUCAGACGUGAAAUCCCCAGGCUUAACCUGGGAGUUGCGUCUGAUACUGGAUGGCUUGAGAUUGGGAGAGGGAUGCGGAAUUCCAGGUGUAGCGGUGAAAUGCGUAGAUAUCUGGAGGAACACCGGUGGCGAAGGCGACAUCCUGGACCAACACUGACGCUGAGGAGCGAAAGCCAGGGGAGCAAACGGGAUUAGAAACCCCUGUAGUCC